UACGUAGGGUGCAAGCGUUACUCGGAAUUACUGGGCGUAAAGCGUGCGCAGGCGGUUGUGUAAGACAGGUGUGAAAUCCCCGGGCUUAACCUGGGAAUUGCAUUUGUGACUGCACAACUAGAGUGUGUCAGAGGGGGGUGGAAUUCCACGUGUAGCAGUGAAAUGCGUAGAUAUGUGGAGGAACACCAAUGGCGAAGGCAGCCCCCUGGGAUAACACUGACGCUCAUGCACGAAAGCGUGGGGGGCAAACAGG
rnacentral:rRNA from 1 species